UACGUAGGGUGCGAGCGUUGUCCGGAAUUAUUGGGCGUAAAGAGCUUGUAGGCGGUUUGUCGCGUCUGCUGUGAAAUUUCGGGGCUCAACCCCGAACUUGCAGUGGGUACGGGCAGACUAGAGUGUGGUAGGGGAGACUGGAAUUCCUGGUGUAGCGGUGAAAUGCGCAGAUAUCAGGAGGAACACCGGUGGCGAAGGCGCCACUCUGGGCCGAAACUGACGCUGAGGAGCGAAAGCGUGGGUAGCAAACAGG
rnacentral:rRNA from 1 species